UUGAACGAAUCUCUUUUAGAGAUGAGUGGCGAACGGGUGAGUAAUACAUAGGUAACCUGCCCCUGUGCGGGGGAUAACAGGAGGAAACUCCUGCUAAUACCGCAUAGCCAUGAGCACCGCAUGGAGCUCAUGCCAAAUAUCCUUUAUGGGAUAGCGCAGGGAUGGACCUAUGGCGCAUUAGCUGGUUGGCGGGGCAACGGCCCACCAAGGCAACGAUGCGUAGCCGGCCUGAGAGGGCGGACGGCCACAUUGGGACUGAGACACGGCCCAGACUCCUACGGGAGGCAGCAGUAGGGAAUUUUCGGCAAUGGGGGAAACCCUGACCGAGCAACGCCGCGUGAGCGAAGAAGGCCUUCGGGUCGUAAAGCUCUGUUGUAAAGGAAGAACGGCGCAUACAGGAAAUGGUAUGCGAGUGACGGUACUUUACCAGAAAGCCACGGCUAACUACGUGCCAGCAGCCGCGGUAAUACGUAGGUGGCGAGCGUUAUCCGGUAUCAUUGGGCGUAAAGAGGGAGCAGGCGGCCGCAAGGGUCUGUGGUGAAAGCCCGAAGCUAAACUUCAGUAAGCCAUGGAAACCGGGCGGCUAGAGUGCGGAAGAGGAUCGUGGAAUUCCAUGUGUAGCGGUGAAAUGCGUAGAUAUAUGGAGGAACACCAGUGGCGAAGGCGACGGUCUGGGCCGCAACUGACGCUCAUUCCCGAAAGCGUGGGGAGCAAAUAGGAUUAGAUACCCUAGUAGUCCACGCCGUAAACGAUGGUCACUAAGUGUCGGGGGUCAAACCC
rnacentral:rRNA from 1 species